rnacentral:sRNA from 1 species
AUUUCACAGAAUCAUAAAAUUGAUCACUUAAUAUUGAUGCUGGGCCUGGGCAUGGUGGCUCACGCCUGUAAUCCCAGCACUUUGAGAGGCCAAGGCUGGUCUUGAACUCCUGGCCUCAAGCAAUCCUGUCUUGGCCUCCCAAAGUGCUGGGAUCACAGGCUUGAGCCACUGCAUCCGGCCUCCCAUUCCUUAUACUACUUGAAAUUUUGGAAAUUUUGGUAUUUUAGAAAAUGAAAAAUUGUGCACAUUUACUGCUGGUGUAGAUUCUUCUUUAGUGUAAUUUUCUUAUGACUCUCAUGAAUAAACUGAUCCUUUUUGUGAGUUGAGCUGUGGUAAAUAACAUCACAUUUUAGCACGAGGGUUGCCACCUAUUAAUUCAAACAAGCCAGAGGUCAUAGAUCUACUUGGUGACUGGUGGAGCUGUGUGGAUCUGGUAACUUGGGAGCCAUUGUUCACUGCCUCUGCUGAUUUGUUGCCACAUUUUUCUCAUUCAUUCUGGACAUUGCAGUGGAGGGAGCCCCCUCUACUUUUGACUCCUGUCCUUCAGUUUCUCCAUCUGCUCAUGCGCCCUCUUAACCAUGUGGCAUGCCACUUUCGUGGUGGCCUCCCCUCUUUAUUUGCUGUGGAUGACCAGGGCCAUCAUCCUUUAUUCUCUGAUGUGGAAACUAUUCAAGGGAAGUGAGCAAACUGGGCCAAUGGUAGGAUGUCAUUGCAGAGUGCCAGGAUAUCCUGAUGCUUUGAAGGAAAACCACUGGAGAACUUGGAUGCUUUAUCAUGGUUUUGCCAAAAAUAUAGCUAUUGAGUGGCAGUCACUGUGCUAGGGAAUGGCCAUCACCUUUUUGUUAGGAAAUAAUGUUUUAUAUGCAUUUUCAAUUGAAGCAAACAUACCAAAUGGAAGAUAAUUAUAUAAAUUCACUUAUAUGAUCAACAUUUGUAAUAUCCUGUGCCUUGCUUGGUAAAUGGCAAAUAAAGAUCUCUGGUGCACAUUUAAAAGAAUGCUCUUUUUUUUGGGCUCUCUGAAGGUUGACCUGCUCUUUCUUUCUGAACUGCAAGUGCUACAUGAUAUUUCAAGCUUGCUGUCUCGUCAUAAGCAUCUAGCCAAGGAUCAUUCUCCUGAUUUAUAUUCACUGGAGCU